rnacentral:lncRNA from 13 species
UGGGUUUACAUCAGUAAGGAAAUAUACAGUCAAAUCCCAUUCAUUAUAAAAAAUCUAUUUAUUAAUCUCUUUCUUUCUCCGUUAUUUUAAGAAAUCUAUUUGACCUCAAAUUCCUGGAGGGUGAACAACUUGAACAACAAUGGAGUGGGAGAGGAAGGAGUAGACUGUGAAGGCUCUGUUCACGGCACAAAGAGAAGGAUGCUGACUUUGUGACUGACAGAUGCAGUGUGUGAUCGUGCCUGGGCAAUAUGGAAGGCAGUUUAGGCCUCAGUGGACAAAGUCCCUGACACUCAAAGGCUUUGUGGUGCUUGCUUGUUUGUGGUUGUGACUGACUUGGAAGUUGCAAGUUUUACCUUUCACUCAAGUCCAGAAGGCAGUGGAUCUGAAGCGAAGAGCAACAAAGACCUUUCCCUCUUCAUGCUUAGUCAGAGUUCUGGCGAGGAAGGGUUCUGUAGAUGGGGGAUGACCUGGCCAUCAGAUGGAAGGAUAUGA